UACGUAGGAGACGAGCGUUGUCCGGAAUUACUGGGCGUAAAGCGCGUGUAGGCGGAUGAGCAAGUCUGCUGUGAAAGCUCCUGGCUUAACCGGGAGUGGUCGGUGGAAACUGCUCGUCUGGAGGACGGUAGAGGUAGGUAGAAUUCCCGGUGUAGUGGUGAAAUGCGUAGAGAUCGGGAGGAAUACCUGUGGCGAAGGCGGCCUACUGGGCCGGACCUGACGCUGAGACGCGAAAGCGUGGGGAGCAAACAGG
rnacentral:rRNA from 1 species